rnacentral:rRNA from 1 species
AUUGAACGCUGGCGGAAUGCUUUACACAUGCAAGUCGAACGGUAGAGGGGCAACCCUUGAGAGUGGCGAACGGGUGAGUAAUGUAUCGGAACAUGCCCAGUCGUGGGGGAUAACGUAGCGAAAGUUACGCUAAUACCGCAUACGAUCUAUGGAUGAAAGCGGGGGAUCGCAAGACCUCGCGCGAUUGGAGUGGCCGAUAUCAGAUUAGGUAGUUGGUGGGGUAAAGGCCUACCAAGCCGACGAUCUGUAGCUGGUCUGAGAGGACGACCAGCCACACUGGGACUGAGACACGGCCCAGACUCCUACGGGAGGCAGCAGUGGGGAAUUUUGGACAAUGGGCGCAAGCCUGAUCCAGCCAUUCCGCGUGCAGGAAGAAGGCCUUCGGGUUGUAAACUGCUUAUGUACGGAACGAAACGCGCUAAGAGAAUACCUCGGCGUAAUGACGGUACCGUAAGAAUAAGCACCGGCUAACUACGUGCCAGCCGCCGCGGUAAAAC